rfam:Myotis davidii contig215953, whole genome shotgun sequence.
AUACCUACCUAGCAGGAGAGAGACCAUGAUCACAAGGGGGUUUUCCCAAGGUGAGGAUACACUGCACUCCAGAUGUGCAGACCCCGUGAUUUCCCCAAAUGUGGGAAACUUGGCUGCAUAAUUUGUGGUAGUGGGAACUGCAUUUGCGUUCUCCCCC